CUUAUUAGAAAUCGUACGUGAGAUAUUAUGUUCUCUGAAAGUAACGUUAAAAGGAAAAGGAUCGUGAAUAAGAUUUAAAUACUUUGAAAUUUAUUCGGCAGAACAUUAUGAAGAUAGAUAAAUACCCCUUUAUUGAAACGAUGUCGCAAAUAAUGCUGUCGUCAGAUGUAUUAUUGAAAUUAACAAAGUGCAAUAUCUUUUAAGAUCAUUUUAAAGUCAAGUAGAUAUGCGUUAGUUGAGACAUAAAACUUAUAAUAAUACUAAGAAAAGAUAGUGAUAUUAAAACAACAUCAAAUUAUAGAAUAUCAGAUAUAUUCAUUGAUCAUAUUUGCAUUUUGAGUUUACAGAUACGUUUGUUUCUUAAAACUUUGGUGCUCCUCCAAUUACGGUGUUUUAUUGUAAUUAUCCUCGAUGUAUUAUACACGAAUUUUUCAAUUACAAUGCUGCCAGUAAGGUGCAUACACGGCCUUUUUUCAGCAAGCACACUUUGUGAAAUACGAUGUUUCGACACUGCUAUAGUACAUUUUAAUUUUACUUAAUAUCUUACACUCUCGCACAUAAAAUAAUUUUGUCAUAUUGACUUAAAUGAACAAAAAUGGUACAAAAAAUACUACACCAUUCGGAAUGAUUAGAUAAUAUUCACACUUCUCAAAUAUUCUCCUGUUGUAAUAUGUAAUUACCAAUAUUGUUUUAUAGGUAAUUAUCAUUCUAUGUACAUAUCUGCAUGUCACGCCAUAAUAUACAAUUGAAACUUAAAAAUUCAAA